ACAGUUCAUGGUAGGUCGUUGCCUUGGCUAAAAGACAACACUCAAAAACGGCAAAAGCAGACUGAUAUAGGUGGUAGGGUAAGUACAACAUUGCUGUCAUCUUUGUGUUUUGAAUAACAUCUUUGAAUUUCAAUCGGAAAACUUUAUGAUAUUUAAAGCCCCUUACAGUGAAAUAUGUCAAGGUUGUUUGAUGGUAGAAAGUGUCAAUCAAACGAAUACUGACACUCAUCUAUACGUUUGCGUGGCACAUUUUUCCUUUCUUUUGGUUUGAUUCAUAUUCUUCCUUUUCAGUUUUUUUUUCAGUCCUUAUGAAUUGUUCAAAUUUAAUUUUCUGAAUAUGCAUGUUGUUUCUGUUGAGUGUAGUUUUCCCUAUUUUUAUGCUCCCUUUCCUCAGCCACUUUUCUAAUUAAGUGAAUUUUGAUGUAUUUAUUUAAUGAUUGCAUUUCCUGGUUUGAAAGGAUAUCACAUGGAAAAUGAAUGCCUUAAUUUGGAAUCAAUUGAAUAGAAAUAUCCAUAUUAGAAAUGCUCCAAAAUAGUCAGUUUCCACACAUUCAGUGGAGCCAAAUCACUCUUACUUUUCUUUGAUACAUGUUGUGUUUCAAAUAGUUUGCACGCCUGUAUUGUGCGUUCUAUGUUAAGCAUGUUAACUAAAUCAAAAAUGUAUUGGUAUGAAUAAAUUCCAGUAUUUGUUGAGAUAUCAUAUUCGAUUGAAUGCAUGUUGUUAUUUAAUAGACCUGAGACAUAUUGACGUCACGCUUUGUUGUUGAGCUUGUAGCUCUCGUCCCAAACUGGCUCCCAUAAGGAAGCGCAGUUGUGUAAACAAAGCGCACUUCGUUAUGUCUCAGUGCUGUGUCGAUUUGUUAAUUCGUACUUUGAACUGCAUCUUCCCGAAAUUAGAGUUUCGUAGACUAUGCAUCUCAUAUAUUAUGAGUAUGUUAAUUCGGAUUUGUCCCUACUGUGUGUUAUUCAUUUAUAUGGUAUUCUUUAACAAUGCUAACCACCGUUCGGGUUUAUUAUGUUUUAUUGCUGCUCUCUCUGCAAAAAUUGAAUGCAACAGAUGGUGAGUAUAAGCUAUAUUUUUACUUAUUGUUUUGAUACAUUUUGUUGUA